rnacentral:rRNA from 1 species
AGAGUUUGAUCAUGGCUCAGAUUGAACGCUGGCGGCAGGCCUAACACAUGCAAGUCGAACGGUAACAGGAAGCAGCUUGCUGCUUCGCUGACGAGUGGCGGACGGGUGAGUAAUGUCUGGGAAACUGCCUGAUGGAGGGGGAUAACUACUGGAAACGGUAGCUAAUACCGCAUAAUGUCGCAAGACCAAAGAGGGGGACCUUCGGGCCUCUUGCCAUCGGAUGUGCCCAGAUGGGAUUAGCUUGUUGGUGGGGUAACGGCUCACCAAGGCGACGAUCCCUAGCUGGUCUGAGAGGAUGACCAGCCACACUGGAACUGAGACACGGUCCAGACUCCUACGGGAGGCAGCAGUGGGGAAUAUUGCACAAUGGGCGCAAGCCUGAUGCAGCCAUGCCGCGUGUAUGAAGAAGGCCUUCGGGUUGUAAAGUACUUUCAGCGGGGAGGAAGGGAGUAAAGUUAAUACCUUUGCUCAUUGACGUUACCCGCAGAAGAAGCACCGGCUAACUCCGUGCCAGCAGCCGCGGUAAUACGGAGGGUGCAAGCGUUAAUCGGAAUUACUGGGCGUAAAGCGCACGCAGGCGGUUUGUUAAGUCAGAUGUGAAAUCCCCGGGCUCAACCUGGGAACUGCAUCUGAUACUGGCAAGCUUGAGUCUCGUAGAGGGGGGUAGAAUUCCAGGUGUAGCGGUGAAAUGCGUAGAGAUCUGGAGGAAUACCGGUGGCGAAGGCGGCCCCCUGGACGAAGACUGACGCUCAGGUGCGAAAGCGUGGGGAGCAAACAGGAUUAGAUACCCUGGUAGUCCACGCCGUAAACGAUGUCGACUUGGAGGUUGUGCCCUUGAGGCGUGGCUUCCGGAGCUAACGCGUUAAGUCGACCGCCUGGGGAGUACGGCCGCAAGGUUAAAACUCAAAUGAAUUGACGGGGGCCCGCACAAGCGGUGGAGCAUGUGGUUUAAUUCGAUGCAACGCGAAGAACCUUACCUGGUCUUGACAUCCACGGAAGUUUUCAGAGAUGAGAAUGUGCCUUCGGGAACCGUGAGACAGGUGCUGCAUGGCUGUCGUCAGCUCGUGUUGUGAAAUGUUGGGUUAAGUCCCGCAACGAGCGCAACCCUUAUCCUUUGUUGCCAGCGGUCCGGCCGGGAACUCAAAGGAGACUGCCAGUGAUAAACUGGAGGAAGGUGGGGAUGACGUCAAGUCAUCAUGGCCCUUACGACCAGGGCUACACACGUGCUACAAUGGCGCAUACAAAGAGAAGCGACCUCGCGAGAGCAAGCGGACCUCAUAAAGUGCGUCGUAGUCCGGAUUGGAGUCUGCAACUCGACUCCAUGAAGUCGGAAUCGCUAGUAAUCGUGGAUCAGAAUGCCACGGUGAAUACGUUCCCGGGCCUUGUACACACCGCCCGUCACACCAUGGGAGUGGGUUGCAAAAGAAGUAGGUAGCUUAACCUUAGGGAGGGCGCUUACCACUUUGUGAUUCAUGACUGGGGUGAAGUCGUAACAAGGUAACCGUAGGGGAACCUGCGGUUGGAUCACCU